ACCAACGAAAUUAUACCAUUUUCUUAAAGAAAUUGACUGUUAGGUCUAUGAAUCAGUUGUAAGACGAGGGUCCGACUCCCUCAUGCUCCACAUUCCUCACCUCGGAUAGCUCUAAGCAAUACAAGGAAAAGAACUAGGAUUUUUGAUCGUGUUCUACCGUGCGCCAAGUUCUUAAAUCUUUGAACGGUAGAUAAGGGGCAUUAUGGUUUUGAUUGCAACAAUGUGAAGUAGAAUAGGUCAAUAAGCAGAUAACUGGCAAUACAAGUUAUGUAAUGGAUUAUACACGCUUAGCAGCGUGAGAUAAACCAAACGGCUAAGCUAAUGUCGUAAAAAGCUGGAGUAGAAAAGCUUUGCAUGGGGUGAAGCCUUGGAUGUUACCAAGAGAUAGGC
rnacentral:tmRNA from 1 species